UCAACAGGAUGAGUCAUGCCGAGAAAAGAUAAGGGAAUGAGGAACAGAUGGCACCAAGCAGAAGUAACACAUUGCUGUUACUUGAUGACUGUAAAAACUUACUUAAAGUGUCCUUUGUUUGUAGUUAACCAGUCAGGGAUUGCCUAGUAUGUAAUGGUUAGCUUAAAGAACCAAUCUGUUUAAAGCACGCAGCUUCUGAAAACAUAUAUAUAAACUCGUGAUCGUGUACAAUAAAUCGACAUCUUGCUUGCAUCAAGCUACAUCCCGUCCCUUCAUUCGAUGCAAAUUGGUGACCCCGACGUGAUCUGGUUCAGGAUCUGACAUAAAGGGCUCUUCAAUUGCCUGAGCGACUUGCAGCGAAUCCCACAGAACUCUGAACGAACCACUGGGAGGAAGCGGGAGUCAGCCGGCCUGAAAUCCCUCCGGAGUUGAGAGGUACCCUUAUGAAUGGUGACAAGGAACAGGAAAGGUGGGAGGAGAAGAACAAUGAGGCUUAUUUGAAGGACAUCAGCAUAGCCUACCCCACCAUAGUUUUGAGAUGGAUGUAGGUGCCCUACAGGUGCCCUUGAAGAGUUUUUCUGAAUACACAGAAACAGACUUUUUUCAUUACACUUGAGCUGCAUAGCUGGACACUGACUGUCUCAGAAUGUGAUUUCCCAAAUGCCUUUGUAGUUGUUUUUAAAACGUGCCUUGGUCUUUGGAAAAAAAAAUAAAUGUUGGCAAGUUAUUUUAUAAAGACAGAGACAAUCACUCAGGAGGGAAGACAGAGGACAAUCUGUGUCAAUACUUUUAAAUAUUUCUCAAAGUUCGAAUGCUGUCAACACAGCAGAGUUUCUCUGCACUCCCCAGAUCUGUUUCUGAGUAACUCAAUGAGUGAGUAUUCAGAAGGGACAGCUCUUUUCAGACCAUGACAAAGUGGCCCUAUUCCAGAACUUGUGGUGUUAUUCAGCAAUUCCUACUGUGCUGUAGGUCUGUGUGCUGCUAAGAUACAUACUUAUUUCAAAUAUGAGCCCUAAACCUUCAGCACCUGGAUCAUUUUCUUCUGCAGACUAACCUUUCUCCAGCUUUCACUGUGGGACCAGGCACACCAGUUCUGUCACCUCUAAGACCAUGAGUCCACGAUUGUUAGUACCAGACCUGUGCAUUGCCAGAUUGCAGCAGGUGUCUGAUCUGCUUCACCACAUAUCUGCUGAGUGAACCAGAAUACGUGUCACGGUGUUUAUUCCAGCCUUAUGCUUUUAUAACUGCUGGGAGGAAAAACAAUAACUGAUCUGGCAUAAAGUGGCAAUCCCCAGUCUGGCAUGAAGUCUGCUGGUAUAAAAUUAACCUGUCAUCAUCCUUUUUGAACAGCACAGUGUAAGCAGAGAUUAUGUCAGAUUGGCACUUUAGAUGGUAUGAUUGCAGUGCUUUCAAACUGGGAGCAGGAGUCUUCACAUGGGAUUUCCCAUGCUGCUGAAAUGGGCUGAGCUAGCUGCUGAUUUUCAGAUCGGGUCUGCUGGAGCAAACGUAUUAGAAGAGGUGGGGAAAUCACAGACACAUUUUCUUGGCACUGCUACAAUGGAAGCUCCUUAUCUGGUAACUCCAUUAACUUCAGUGACCUUCUGCUUUUAUUCCCAUGCUCAGUUUUAUACAUGAGUAAUCCCAUAAAGGGACUCCCCUUUGAAGGGAGGCACGGGUACCACUGACACCUGAUUCUGUCCUUCACCUUUCUCCCUCUCUGACAGUCUCCAUUUCUCUCUUAGAUAAAUGUGGCAAUCAUUGUGGAAACUUUCACUGUGAACAAAAGUACACUGAUUUUGUUCUUACAUGUAAAUAAAUACAAGCUGCUA